CCAAGUGUAGCUGGGACUACAGGCACACGCCACCAUGCCCAGCUAAUUUUUGUUUUUUUUAAUGUAGAGAUAAGAGUCUCACUAUGUUGCCCAGGUUGAUCUCAAACUCCUGGUCUCAAGAGAUCCUCCCACCUCAGCCUCCCAGAGUCAGAACCCAGAUCCUGGAACUCUUCUUUUCUUCUUCUAUACCACUGCUUCCUUGGAGAUACCAGGUUUCGCCAUGUUGACCAGGCUGGUCUCAAACUCCCAACCUCAAGUGAUCCACCUGCCUUGGCCUCCCAGAGUGCUGGGAUUACAGGUGUGAGCCACCAUGCCCGGCCUAAAAGGUAAGAGAUCAAGAUAUAUACAAAUUAGUCUUUGAAAGAUCUUUCACCUUGUUCAAAGGUAAGAUCCUGUGAACACCAGAAUUGUUCCAUGGCCUCUUCACUAUUGAUUGCAACAGUAUCAUUUACCUGAAGUUACACAGUGACCACAAAAACCAUGUCCAGGACACCAAAUUUCUACUGCGAACUCUAGGGCCUCACGAGCCUUUCUCUGCGAGUCCAAAAUUCAGCCACAUUUCCUAAGAGGCACCUGUACUUGUCUAUUUCAAUGCAGCCAGAAGCUGACAACGGCCCAGGAACCAGGACUGCUUUCAGGAGGCGCUCAGAAGGGCAGCAAAGUACCCUCUCAACAUUAGUAAAAUGAAACAAAAGUGUCA
rnacentral:lncRNA from 10 species